rnacentral:rRNA from 1 species
GAUGAACGCUGGCGGCGUGCCUAAUACAUGCAAGUCGAGCGAACAGACGAGGAGCUUGCUCCUCUGACGUUAGCGGCGGACGGGUGAGUAACACGUGGAUAACCUACCUAUAAGACUGGGAUAACUUCGGGAAACCGGAGCUAAUACCGGAUAAUAUAUUGAACCGCAUGGUUCAAUAGUGAAAGACGGUUUUGCUGUCACUUAUAGAUGGAUCCGCGCCGCAUUAGCUAGUUGGUAAGGUAACAGCUUACCAAGGCAACGAUGCGUAGCCGACCUGAGAGGGUGAUCGGACACACUGGAACUGAGACACGGUCCAGACUCCUACGGGAGGCAGCAGUAGGGAAACUUCCGCAAUGGGCGAAAGCCUGACGGAGCAACGCCGCGUGAGUGAUGAAGGUCUUCGGAUCGUAAAACUCUGUUAUUAGGGAAGAACAAAUGUGUAAGUAACUAUGCACGUCUUGACGGUACCUAAUCAGAAAGCCACGGCUAACUACGUG